GACGAACCGUCCAAACGUUAUUCGGAAUCACUGGGCUUAAAGGGUGCGUAGGCGGCUCUGCAAGUUGGGUGUGAAAGCCCUCGGCUCAACCGAGGAAUUGCGCCCAAAACUGCUGGGCUUGAGGGAGACAGAGGUGAGCGGAACUUAGGGUGGAGCGGUGAAAUGCGUUGAGAUCCUAAGGAACACCAGUAGCGAAAGCGGCUCACUGGGUCUCUUCUGACGCUGAGGCACGAAAGCUAGGGGAGCGAAGAGGAUUAGAUACCCUCGUAGUCCUAGCCGUAAACGAUGAGCACUGAUUUGGAGGCUCCUCCAUAGGCUUCCAGAUGUAGCGAAAGUGUUAAGUGCUCCGCCUGGGGAGUAUGGUCGCAAGGCUGAA
rnacentral:rRNA from 1 species